rnacentral:sRNA from 1 species
GCCGGGUGUGGUGGCGCACACCUGUAAUCCCAGAGACUGAGGCUGAGGCAGAGGAUCCAGAGUUCAAAGCCUGCCUCAGCAAUGUAGUGAGGCACUUGCAACUAAAUGGGACCCUAUAUCUA